rnacentral:rRNA from 1 species
AGUGGCGGACGGGUGAGUAACGCGUGAGAAUCUGCCUUGGGGUCGGGGACAACCACUGGAAACGGUGGCUAAUACCGGAUAAGCCGAUUGGUGAAAGAUUUAUUGCCCGAAGAGGAGCUCGCGUCUGAUUAGCUAGUUGGUGAGGUAAGAGCUCACCAAGGCAGCGAUCAGUAGCUGGUCUGAGAGGACGAUCAGCCACACUGGGACUGAGACACGGCCCAGACUCCUACGGGAGGCAGCAGUGGGGAAUUUUCCGCAAUGGGCGAAAGCCUGACGGAGCAAGACCGCGUGAGGGAGGAAGGCUCUUGGGUUGUAAACCUCUUUUCUCAGGGAAGAAGCUCUGACGGUACCUGAGGAAUCAGCCUCGGCUAACUCCGUGCCAGCAGCCGCGGUAAUACGGAGGAGGCAAGCGUUAUCCGGAAUUAUUGGGCGUAAAGCGUCCGCAGGUGGCGAUUCAAGUCUGCUGUCAAAGCACGGGGCUUAACUCCGUAAAGGCAGUGGAAACUGAAUAGCUAGAGUGCCGUAGGGGUAGAGGGAAUUCCCGGUGUAGCGGUGAAAUGCGUAGAGAUCGGGAAGAACAUCGUGGCGAAAGCGCUCUACUGGACGGCAACUGACACUCAGGGACGAAAGCUAGGGGAGCGAAUGGGAUUAGAUACCCC